rnacentral:rRNA from 1 species
UAAGGAAUAUUGGUCAAUGGACGCAAGUCUGAACCAGCCAUGCCGCGUGGAGGAUGAAGGUCCUCUGGAUUGUAAACUUCUUUUAUUUGGGAAGAAACCCAGAUUUUCUAAUCUGGUUGACGGUACCAGAUGAAUAAGCACCGGCUAACUCCGUGCCAGCAGCCGCGGUAAUACGGAGGGUGCAAGCGUUAUCCGGAUUCACUGGGUUUAAAGGGUGCGUAGGCGGGUUGGUAAGUCCGUGGUGAAAUCUCCGAGCUUAACUCGGAAACUGCCGUGGAUACUAUCAAUCUUGAAUAUCGUGGAGGUAAGCGGAAUAUGUCAUGUAGCGGUGAAAUGCUUAGAUAUGACAUAGAACACCAAUUGCGUAGGCAGCUUACUACACGAUCAUUGACGCUGAGGCACGAAAGCGUGGGGAGCAAACA